UUUCUCUUCAAUCAUACUUCUGUGUAAAAAGGCAAUACAUUCUACUGCUUGUGCUUUUUCAACUCUGAAUUUCACCUUUACUGUUAAGAAAACAUGUUGACAUAUCAAACAAUGUAACUAACAGGCAAAGCAGAACAAAAUGAGUCACUAUUAAAGCUAUUUUUUUUCCUUUUAGACUAUGCUUUCCCUGUUAGAAUACAUCAAUCAAAAGACAGAAAUACAACUUAAAAGGUAGAUAACCAGAAGAAAAACUUGCAGAAAUGUGCAAGCACGACCCAGUUCAAUAGCUGUCUCAGGACAACUGUGGGGGAGUGACAAGCCACGGCACGUGCGUGGGAAUGAGUGAUGUUGCCACCAGAGUUCAUGUCAAGUUAGAAACACACCAAUUUCCACAUCACAACCCAGUCAGUUGAGCUCCUGACUUCUGUGAGAGUUGUUUCAAGCCCUGUCUGAAAAGAUGGAGCUUUAUGGAGCAGUUAAAGAUGAUGUGAAGAAGUUCUGUGACAGCAGUUAAUGUUACCGAAGCACAAAUCUGUGGCUUCCACAAGUGUUUCAGGUGCACCAAAAAUACAAUAUAAAAUUUUUCAAUGUUUUUCUUUUUGGAGUUUAGGAUGAACAUCCACAUAUUUAAACAGUAGACUAGUUAUUAGCAAAAACAUGUACUUAAUCCAGAUUAUUUUAAAACCUUCAUUGCUCUACUUUUUAAAUCUUGGGACUCAGUUUUGCAGAUCUUCAGUUCCCUGGCUACUCUUGUGGAACUGUUCAAAAGUCCUUGGAUAAACAUUAAAUACCCUUGGAGUAUGAGGGUACACCAUGUACUACUGGAAGUGCUGCUGGUCUUUCUCCCUUUCACCUCCCUAAGAAAGUUACAUGUUUAUAAAGAGAGAAUUAGAUGUGGGGGAAGGAGGGAAAUCUUUCAAGGUUACAUCCUUCAAGAAUUAAAAAACUUGUCUGUUUUCUCAUUAGUCUUUAUGGGACCUUUUGUUUUUAAGUAAACAGG